GCCCGGGUGGCGGAAUGGUUUACGCAGAGGACUUAAAAUCCUUGCCUCUAACGAGGUUGUGGGUUCAAAUCCCACCCCGGGCA
rnacentral:tRNA from 1 species